AUUGAACGCUGGCGGCAUGCCUUACACAUGCAAGUCGAACGGUAACAGGCCGCAAGGCGCUGACGAGUGGCGAACGGGUGAGUAAUGCAUCGGAACGUGCCCAGUCGUGGGGGAUAACGCAGCGAAAGCUGUGCUAAUACCGCAUACGAUCUAUGGAUGAAAGCGGGGGACCGUAAGGCCUCGCGCGAUUGGAGUGGCCGAUGUCAGAUUAGGUAGUUGGUGGGGUAAAGGCCUACCAAGCCGACGAUCUGUAGCUGGUCUGAGAGGACGACCAGCCACACUGGGACUGAGACACGGCCCAGACUCCUACGGGAGGCAGCAGUGGGGAAUUUUGGACAAUGGGCGCAAGCCUGAUCCAGCAAUGCCGCGUGCAGGAAGAAGGCCUUCGGGUUGUAAACUGCUUUUGUACGGAACGAAACGGUCUGGGUUAAUACCCUGGGCUAAUGACGGUACCGUAAGAAUAAGCACCGGCUAACUACGUGCCAGCCGCCGCCGUAAUAC
rnacentral:rRNA from 1 species